UGCCCCCGGGGGGGCUCGACGCCGAGUCCUACAGCGCUUGCCUCCACCUGGCCGAGAUGCAGCAUCGGGUGCAGAAGGCGCUGGCAGAGUGUGAGCGGCUGCUGCGGGCACGGGCAUCCUGGCCCUGCAGCUGCCCCCGGGGGGGCUCGACGCCGAGUCCUACAGCGCUUGCCUCCACCUGGCCGAGAUGCAGCAUCGGGUGCGGAAGGCGCUGGCAGAGUGUGAGCGGCUGCUGCGGGCACGGG